GAUGAACGCUGGCGGCGUGCCUAAUACAUGCAAGUCGAGCGAACAGACGAGGAGCUUGCUCCUCUGACGUUAGCGGCGGACGGGUGAGUAACACGUGGAUAACCUACCUAUAAGACUGGGAUAACUUCGGGAAACCGGAGCUAAUACCGGAUAAUAUAUUGAACCGCAUGGUUCAAUAGUGAAAGACGGUUUUGCUGUCACUUAUAGAUGGAUCCGCGCCGCAUUAGCUAGUUGGUAAGGUAACGGCUUACCAAGGCAACGAUGCGUAGCCGACCUGAGAGGGUGAUCGGCCACACUGGAACUGAGACACGGUCCAGACUCCUACGGGAGGCAGCAGUAGGGAAUCUUCCGCAAUGGGCGAAAGCCUGACGGAGCAACGCCGCGUAAGUGAUGAAGGUCUUCGGAUCGUAAAACUCUGUUAUUAGGGAAGAACAAAUGUGUAAGUAACUAUGCACGUCUUGACGGUACCUAAUCAGAAAGCCACGGCUAACUACGUG
rnacentral:rRNA from 1 species